GACGAACGCUGGCGGCGUGCCUAAUACAUGCAAGUCGAACGCAUUUUCUUUCACCGUAGCUUGCUACACCGAAAGAAAGUGAGUGGCGAACGGGUGAGUAACACGUUGGUAACCUGCCCAUCAGCGGGGGAUAACACUUGGAAACAGGUGCUAAUACCGCAUAAUUCCAUUUACCGCAUGGUAGAUGGAUGAAAGGCGCUUUUGCGUCACUGAUGGAUGGACCCGCGGUGCAUUAGCUAGUUGGUGGGGUAACGGCCUACCAAGGCUGCGAUGCAUAGCCGACCUGAGAGGGUGAUCGGCCACACUGGGACUGAGACACGGCCCAGACUCCUACGGGAGGCAGCAGUAGGGAAUCUUCGGCAAUGGACGCAAGUCUGACCGAGCAACGCCGCGUGAGUGAAGAAGGUUGUCGGAUUGUAAAACUCUGUUGUUAGAGAAGAACAAGGAUGAGAGUGGAAAGUUCAUCCCUUGACGGUAUCUAACCAGAAAGCCACGGCUAACUACGUG
rnacentral:rRNA from 1 species